UUGACCUCAAAUCAGGUAGGACUACCCGCUGAACUUAAGCAUAUCAAUAAGCGGAGGAAAAGAAACUAACAAGGAUUCCCCUAGUAACUGCGAGUGAAGCGGGAAAAGCUCAAAUUUAAAAUCUGGCGGUCUUGCGGCCGUCCGAGUUGUAAUCUGGAGAAGCGUUUAUCCGCGUCGGACCGUGUACAAGUCUUCUGGAAGGGAGCGUCGUAGAGGGUGAGAAUCCCGUCUUUGACACGGACAACCGGUGCUUUUGUGAU
rnacentral:rRNA from 1 species